UACGUAGGGGCGAGCGUUGUCCGGAUUUACUGGGCGUAAAGGGUGAGUAGGCGGUUGUAUAUGUCAGGUGUAAAAGGCUAUGGCUUAACCAUGGUUAGCACUUGAAACUGUACAACUUGAGUGCAGGAGAGGUAAGUGGAAUUCCUAGUGUAGCGGUGAAAUGCGUAGAUAUUAGGAGGAACACCAGUGGCGAAGGCGACUUACUGGACUGUAACUGACGCUGAGUCACGAAAGCGUGGGUAGCAAAACAGGAUUAGAUACCCCCGUAGUCCCUGA
rnacentral:rRNA from 1 species